rnacentral:rRNA from 1 species
CUCGAACGCUGGCGGCAGGCUUAACACAUGCAAGUCGAGCGAGAGGCGGACGGGCGAGUCAUGUCUGGGACACUGCCUGACGGAGGGGGAUAACUACUGGAACCGGUAGCUAAUACCGCAUACCAUCAGAUGUGCUCAGAUGGGAUUAGCUAGUAGGUGGGGUACUGGCUCACCUAGGCGACGAUUCCUAGCUGGACUGAGAGGAUGACCAGCCAGAGUGGAGCUGGGACACGGUCCGGACUCCUACGGGAGGCAGCAGUGGGGAAUAUUGGACAGUGGGCGCAAGCCUGAUGCGGCGAUGCCGCGUGAGUGAAGAAGGCGUUCGGGUUGUAAAGCACUGUCGGCGAGGAGGCGGUACCCGCAGAAGAAGCAACGGCUAACUCCGUGCCAGCAGCCGCGGUAAUUC